UGCAAGUCGAAACGAUGAUCUCCAGCUUGCUGGGGGGAUUAGUGGCGAACGGGUGAGUAACACGUGAGUAACCUGCCCUUAACUCUGGGAUAAGCCUGGGAAACUGGGUCUAAUACCGGAUAUGACUCCUCAUCGCAUGGUGGGGGGUGGAAAGCUUUUUGUGGUUUUGGAUGGACUCCCGGCCUAUCAGCUUGUUGGUGAGGUAAUGGCUUACCAAGGCGACGACCGGUAGCCGGCCUGAGAGGGUGACCGGCCACACUGGGACUGAGACACGGCCCACACUCCUACGGGAGGCAGCAGUGGGGAAUAUUGCACAAUGGGCGCAAGCCUGAUGCAGCGACGCCGCGUGAGGGAUGACGGCCUUCGGGUUGUAAACCUCUUUCAGUAGGGAAGAAGCGAAAGUGACGGUACCUGCAGAAGAAGCGCCCGCUAACUACGUGCCAGCAGCCGCGGUAAUACGUAGGGCGCAAGCGUUAUCCGGAAUUAUUGGGCGUAAAAAUCUCGUAGGCGGUUUGUCGCGUCUGCCGUGAAAGUCCGGGGCUCAACUCCCGAUCUGCCGUGGGUACGGGCAGACUAGAGUGAUGUAUGGGAGACUGGAAUUCCUGGUGUAGCGGUGAAAUGCUCAAAUAUCAGGAGGAACACCGAUGGCGAAGGCAGGUCUCUGGGCAUUAACUGACCCUGAAGAGCGAAACAUGGGGAGCCAACAGGAUUAGAUACCCUGGUAGUCCAUGCCGUAAACGUUGGGCACUAGGUGUGGGGGACAUUCCACGUUUUCCGCGCCGUACCUAACGCAUUAAGUGCCCCGCCUGGGGAGUACGGCCGCAAGGCUAAAACUCAAAGGAAUUGACGGGGGCCCGCACAAGCGGCGGACCAUGCGGAUUAAUUCGAUGCAACGCGAAGAA
rnacentral:rRNA from 2 species